rnacentral:tRNA from 1 species
GCCUCGGUAGCGCAGUAGGCAGCGCGUCAGUCUCAUAAUCUGAAGGCCGUGAGUUCGAGCCUCACCCGGGCCU